CUGCUCGCCUCUGCUAAUAGCUCCAACUCCUCCAGCUCCAAGCUCUCCCUUCACUACACACGCCGCAAGUCCGCAAUGGCCACCGUGCUCAGCAGCCUCCGCGCGCCUGCCUGCUUCGCCCUCCGCGCGGCCCCGGCGCCGGCGCCGUCCACCGUCCCGCUGCCGGCCAAGGCUCCCCGCGGAGCCAGGCUGCGCGCGCAGGCGACCUACAACGUCAAGCUCAUCACUCCCGACGGCGAGGUGGAGCUCCAGGUGCCCGACGACGUCUACAUCCUCGACCACGCCGAGGAGGAAGGGAUCGAGCUGCCCUACUCGUGCCGCGCCGGCUCCUGCUCCUCCUGCGCCGGCAAGCUCGUCUCCGGCAGCAUCGACCAGUCCGACCAGAGCUUCCUCGACGACGACCAGGUCGCCGCCGGGUGGGUGCUCACCUGCGCCGCCUACCCCACCUCCGACGUCGUCAUCGAGACCCACAAGGAGGAGGAACUCAUCGUCUAAUGUAUAUGCCUACGUGCUCCUAAUGCUAUGCUUGCUUAAUACAUCGUGCGUGCUAGUGCAAUUACUCAAUAAGCGUUGUAGACUUCAACCAUGGAGAGACGUCCUACUCUAUGUACUAUGAUGCAUUUCGUUUUU
rnacentral:lncRNA from 1 species